AGAAAAGGCAGGUCUGCAAUGCCAACAUCUAGUAUCUAUCCCAAAGACCAGGGAGAAAGGAAGGAAAGAUUCUGGUUCUGUCCUCUUCCCCAAGGCAAGGCUGGCUGCCCUACCAACAGAGGCAAAGAGAAGAGUGUGCAAGGCUGGCUGCCCUCCCAACAGAGGCAAAGAGGAGUGUGUGUUGAAAUAUCCAUUGAAUCCCUGAGACAACUGGAUCCUGGCCCAUUGAAUCAUAAACUCAGCAGAAUCUCACAUCAUAACCCCAAAUGACCUGUUACUCACCAUGUGGCCCAGCUGUCUUCAAACUCACCAGCCUCCUGCCUUAGCCUUCUAAAUGCUUGGAUUACAGGCAUGACCCACCAUAACUGGCUUUGUUUUAGUUUCAGAGAAGAUGAAACUGAUGUGCGUCAAAAAGUUAUGGAGGCUGGGAAGACCUAGAAUGUGGCAUCACUAUUUGGUUAUUUAGAAAAUUGUUACCUCAAAAAUGACCUAGGGGUCCUUAGAAUAAUAACACACAGAAGAAUAGCCUCAUUUUUCUGUUGGGCCCAGGAAACCAUGCCGAUUACCGACCGAGCUCUCAAUGGAAAAAUGCAGUCGGCGUGAACCACGCACGAACACAGCAGAGAAAGAAGAAAACACACACCACGAGGAACCCUAAUAGGACAAUACAUUAUAAGUCACAGUGCUACGGAGAAACCCAGUAGCCACAUGGAAGCAGAGACCAUGCAUAUGCAUCUACUCCGCAGCUCUGUGAAUGUCAGCAGCUCCCACGGACUGGAGAUCCCGUGAGAUCCCGUGAGAUCUCACCCAUAGCCUCAUGGUACAUCCACUUGGUGUGCUGGGAGAGUCAGGAUGAGGACCUGAGAAGAACAGCAGCUUGAACCUGACUUCAUUUAACAGCCCACUGCCCUCUUGCCAAGAACCCAUCACAGACCUUCCCAGAAGAGAGGGAUGAGCCUCACCUAUGAAUAAGUCCUCAGAAACUCAAAUUUGAUUCUAAUGGAUUGUUUUCUCAGAAAGACUGAGCAUGUCCCCCCACAUCUCUGUCAUUUCCCACAGUAGUAACCUCUGCAGAUGCCACAUAGAAAACAAAACAAAACAAAAAAACAUGAGGUUGGUGGGCAGAUAGGCAGGGUAUAAACAAACAGCCUUGUAACCCAGAAGCUGUGUGAUAUACAGUAAACUUCACAACACUGAAAAGAUGUCCUAUCUGUUAAAAUGGGGUAAUAACAACUACCCGAAUGUUUAGGAAUAGAACUUCAAUAAAUGAUACAUUUUAUAGUACAGCA
rnacentral:lncRNA from 1 species